ACGCUGGCCGCAUGUUCGCUGGCGUUGCCGGCAGCAUGCCCAGGCAGUCGAGACCUUCAAGACUGCGGCGCGGUUCGCCGUGCUGGUUGUUUCGUUCUCCGGGCGCACCCGCGUCCAUCCACCUCACCCUCAAGGGACCGACCUCCCUUGCGGGCGG
rfam:Alicycliphilus denitrificans K601, complete genome.